GAUGAACGCUGGCGGCGUGCCUAAUACAUGCGAGUCGAGCGAACAGACGAGGAGCUUGCUCCUCUGACGUUAGCGGCGGACGGGUGAGUAACACGUGGAUAACCUACCUAUAAGACUGGGAUAACUUCGGGAAACCGGAGCUAAUACCGGAUAAUAUAUUGAACCGCAUGGUUCAAUAGUGAAAGACGGUUUUGCUGUCACUUAUAGAUGGAUCCGCGCCGCAUUAGCUAGUUGGUAAGGUAACGGCUUACCAAGGCAACGAUGCGUAGCCGACCUGAGAGGGUGAUCGGCCACACUGGAACUGAGACACGGUCCAGACUCCUACGGGAGGCAGCAGUAGGGAACCUUCCGCAAUGGGCGAAAGCUUGACGGAGCAACGCCGCGUGAGUGAUGAAGGUCUUCGGAUCGUAAAACUCUGUUAUUAGGGAAGAACAAAUGUGUAAGUAACUAUGCACGUCUUGACGGUACCUAAUCAGAAAGCCACGGCUAACUACGUG
rnacentral:rRNA from 1 species